rnacentral:lncRNA from 1 species
AAAGGACCUCACAGCCACAUUUGAGCCUUGUGCCAGAGAUGGCACGCAUCAUUGCCAGAGCAAGUGGCAUGGCCAUCCGACUUUGGUGAGCUGGUAGUCUAUUGUCCUCCCAUAAAAGAGGUGGGCUGGGAGGCUGGGAAUAAAUAUUUGCACAGUAACUUUGUCUACCAGCCACUUGGCUAUGUAGCUAGAUGCCUGAGUCUUACCUGUGCCUCUGUCACUUGGCUGUUGUGGACUAUCAGCCUUGUACCUCAGCUUCCUCGUCUAUAAGGUGGGAUCAUGGCUAGAGCCCCGCAUUCCUUUGCUGGGUGGGGCAGCCGUGGCAAAAUACCACCAGCAGAGGGCUUAUAGCACAGAAACGUAAUACUAAUGUAAAACUUCAUGUUCUGGAGUCUGGAAAUCCAAGAUCAAGGUGUUAGCCUUGCUUCUGGGGAGGGCUCCUCCAGAGUUGCAGAUGCCCCCCUCCCCACUUUCUCACAACCUUUCCUUUCUGCCUAGGGUGUGACUCUACGAGUUCUGUUUUCUGAUGCCAUGCAUGUGUGGUCUUGUACUUGAGUCUGUUUAGCACAGGACCCAGUUCGGCAGUGUUGGCAAAGCACCAUGUUCUCGAUCCCCCUGAGCCAGCUCCCUGUAAUUAACUGUUCUAAUGAUGACUGAUUCUGACUGUCUGACUCUGACCUUCUCGCCGCAACUUCCUUACCUGGGAAGCAGGUACAAGGAAAUGUGACGGCCACAUCAUCCGUCCUGGAACAAGAUAGACGACCGUGAGGGUGGUGACAGUGAGGAGGGUGAUGACUGUGGUGGUGACGAUGAUUUGAUGGUAAUCUUGAUGGUUAUGAUGGUUCGUUUUUAUCAACUUGGUAUAGUCUAGAGUCACCUGGUAAGGAAGUAUAGAUUAGGUUGCCCUGAAGGCGUGUCUGUAAGGGAUUAUCUUGAUUAUAUUAAUGGAAGUAGAAAGACCUGCUCACUGCGAGUGGUACCAUUCUAUAGGAAGGAGAUUGUAUAAAGUGGGAGUUUUGAUAUAAAAAGAAUAUAUAUAUAUAUAUAUAUAUAUAUAUAUAUAUAGAGAGAGAGAGAGAGAGAGAGAGAGAGAUAGUUGGUAGAUAAUAGAGAGAUACAUGAUUGAUAGAUGAUAGGUAGAGAGAGAGAGAGAUAGUUGAUAGAUAAUAGAGAGAUACAUGAUUGAUAGAUGAUAGGGAGAGAGAGAGAGAGAGAGAGAGAGAUAGUUGAUAGAUAAUAGAGAGAUACAUGAUUGAUAGAUGAUAGGGAGAGAGAGAGAGAUAGUUGAUAGAUAAUAGAGAGAUACAUGAUUGAUAGAUGAUAGGUAGAGAGAGAGAGAUAGUUGAUAGAUAAUAGAGAGAUAAUGAUUGAUAGAUGAUAGGUAGAGAGAGAGAGAGAGAUAGUUGAUAGAUAAUAGAGAGAUACAUGAUUGAUAGAUGAUAGAGAGAGAGAGAGAGAGAGAGAGAGAGGGUUCCCACAGUGUUAGGUAUCAAAGAAGCCAGGGACAAAUGGUUAACUGAGGUGCCUAUUAACUGCCUGUCACAGAGUCCUGGCUCCUCUGAGCACUUCUCACCCUACUCCUUACCCCAAACCUCUCCAGCCCCCGAUCUUCACCGCCCUUUCCCCGCCUUCUCUUUCCUUUAUAGCUCAGACAUUUGGGCUACGUGCCCUCUUAGGUCUCUUUGCCAUCUUGGUUUUCUUUUGUCUCCCUCUCUCUUCUCUUCCUCACUUGCUCUUCCCCUCUCUCUCCUCUCAUGGUCCAGUCGACGCUGCUGGCCAUGCUCCAUCUGGAGUCUUCCAGAUGGCUCUGGCUGUG